GAGGUGGGGACUUAACUAGAGGUGGUGGAGAUGGAGAAGGUGGUGGAGGUGGAGAUGGCGAUGGAGGAGGGGGGGAGUUUAUUAAAGGUGGUGGAGGACUACAAUUAGGUGGCGGAGGUGGAGUUCGCAACCAGGGAAAUGGUAUUGGAAAAGGGAAUAAAGAUGGCGGGGGAGGAUAUUUAUUAUUGCAAGGAGGAGGUGGAGAUGGAGAUUUCGAUGGAGGUGGUGGUGGGGAUGGAGAAGGUGGUGGAGGUGGAUACUUAACUGGAGGUGGUGGAGAUGGAGAAGGUGGUGGAGGUGGAGAUGGCGAUGGAGGAGGUGGUGGAGAUGGAGAAGGUGGAGGUGGAGAUGGAGAUGAAGGUGGUGGUGGAGAUGGAGAAGGUGGUGGAGGAGGUGGGGAAUUAACUAGAGGUGAUGGAGAUGGAGGAGGGGGGGAGUUUAUUAGAGGUGGUGGAGGAGUCUUACAAUUAUUAGAUGGUGGGGGUGGAGGUCGAUUAAAUGGAUAUGGUAGUGGAAAAGGGAAUAAAGAUGGUGGGGAAGGAUAUUUAUUAUAGCAUGGUGGAGGCGGAGGUAUUAAUGGAGGAAUGGGGGUCUUUAAUGGAGGUGGUGGAGAUGGAGAUGG